UGGGUAGUUUGACUGGGGCGGUCUCCUCCCAAAGCGUAACGGAGGAGCACAAAGGUGGGCUAAGCAUGGUCGGACAUCAUGCGGUUAGUGUAAUGGCACAAGCCCGCUUAACUGCGAGACAGACACGUCGAGCAGGUACGAAAGUAGGUCAUAGUGAUCCGGUGGUUCUGUAUGGAAGGGCCAUCGCUCAACGGAUAAAAGGUACUCCGGGGAUAACAGGCUGAUACCGCCCAAGAGUUCACAUCGACGGCGGUGUUUGGCACCUCGAUGUCGGCUC
rnacentral:rRNA from 1 species